rnacentral:rRNA from 1 species
UAAUACAGAGGUCUCAAGCGUUGUUCGGAUUCAUUGGGCGUAAAGGGUGCGCAGGCUGUGUGGUAAGUCAGGUGUGAAAUUUAGAGGCUUAACCUCUAAACUGCACUUGAUACUGCCAUGCUAGAGGACUGUAGAGGAGAUUGGAAUUCACGGUGUAGCAGUGAAAUGCGUAGAUAUCGUGAGGAAGACCGGUGGCGAAGGCGAAUCUCUGGGCAGUUCCUGACGCUCAUGCACGAAGGCUAGGGGAGCAAACGGG